rnacentral:rRNA from 1 species
AGCGAACGCUGGCGGCAGGCCUAACACAUGCAAGUCGAACGCCGUAGCAAUACGGAGUGGCAGACGGGUGAGUAACACGUGGGAACGUACCCUUCGGUUCGGAAUAACUCAGGGAAACUUGAGCUAAUACCGGAUAAGUCCGUGAGGAGAAAGAUUUAUCGCCGAAGGAUCGGCCCGCGUCUGAUUAGCUAGUUGGUGAGGUAACGGCUCACCAAGGCGACGAUCAGUAGCUGGCUGAGAGGAUGAUCAGCCACAUUGGGACUGAGACACGGCCCAAACUCCUACGGGAGGCAGCAGUGGGGAAUAUUGGACAAUGGGCGCAAGCCUGAUCCAGCCAUGCCGCGUGAGUGAUGAAGGCCCUAGGGUUGUAAAGCUCUUUUACCCGGGAAGAUAAUGAUUGUACCGGGAGAAUAAGCCCCGGCUAACUUCGUGCCAGCCGCCGCCGUAAC